UACGGAGGGUGCAAGCGUUAUCCGGAUUCACUGGGUUUAAAGGGUGCGUAGGUGGGAAUGUAAGUCAGUGGUGAAAUCUCCGUGCUUAACAUGGAAACUGCCAUUGAUACUAUGUUUCUUGAAUUUUCUGGAGGUCAGCGGAAUAUGUCAUGUAGCGGUGAAAUGCUUAGAUAUCCGGAGGAACACCGACGGCGUAGGCAGCGCCCUGGACGACACCUGACGCUGAGGCACGAAAGCUGGGGGAGCGAACAGG
rnacentral:rRNA from 1 species